rnacentral:lncRNA from 1 species
AGCAGCCGCGCCAGCCUCAUGCCGAGUCCCGCUAGAGAAGCCACAGCCAGUACGCCAGGUUUCCCCGCGCCUCUGCCGAGUGGGUUGAAGGCAAAUACUUGAAGUUGCAAUCGAAGGUCAAGAAAAUGGAAUCAAGAGGUCACAAUCCUUCUCUGAUGAUGGCUUAGAAAGCUGGAAGACACUCAACAUUGAAUCCUGGGGCUCUGUGCCAUGCUUGCUAGGAGAAACAGCCACCAUGAGUCCAUCUUUCAGAUCUCAAGUGAACAGUCAUUCUCCAGCUGGGAUUGAGAACAAGGGGAAGCUGGCCAUAGAGCCAGGUGACCAAAGAUGGAAGACAAAGGGUGGGCUGUGAUUCCCAGAGCUCCAAGCCUUGUUCUGUCUUGUCACACCAACUGUUACUGAUGAACAGGACAGAGAGUCACUGUGAUUGCCUACUUUGAAAUGGUUCAGAGCCAGUCACUGCCUUUCCUACAGGCAUAUACCAAAUCUACAUUCACCACAAAAACUGGGCUUGUGAAAGCCACACAAAGAAUUGCUUUCUACACUCGACAAAAUGCCGGCUGCAUCAAAAAGCAAAGCAAAAGGCCACAGCUCCCCCUGUGCACGAAGUCAUAAUCCAUCCACUCUAAGAAUGCUUCGUGCAAGGUCUGCAGGUCCCAUGGAGAGACCACACAGCAGGAGACGACCCCACAGAAGGGGAGACGGAGAAACCACCUGCAG